UGCCAGCAGCCGCGAUAAUACGGAGGGUGCAAGCGUUGUUCGGAAUUAUUGGGCGUAAAGAGCAUGUAGGCGGACUGUUAAGUCUGAUGUGAAAGCCCGGGGCUCAACCCCGGAAGUGCAUUGGAUACUGGCAGUCUUGAGUAUGGGAGAGGAAAGUGGAAUUCCGAGUGUAGGAGUGAAAUCCGUAGAUAUUCGGAGGAACACCAGUGGCGAAGGCGGCUUUCUGGACCAAUACUGACGCUGAGGCGCGAAGGCGUGGGUAGCGAACGGGAUUAGAUA
rnacentral:rRNA from 1 species